AUGGGCUCCGCGGCCCGAGCGCCUCUUUUCGGGAUUAAAAGCGCCGCCAGCUCCCGCCGCCGCCGUCGCCGCCGCCAGCAGCGCCGCUGCAGCCGCCGCCGCCGGAGAAGCAACCGCGUAAGUGGCAACUUUUCCCUCUUUUUUUUUUUUUUCCCGCCGCCGCCGCCGCCGCCUGCUCCUCCUCCUCCUCCCGCCGCCACCGCCCGGACGCGGGGCUCCUCGGGGCGCCGGGGCUGCUUUGCAUGGGGCUCGUCCUGCCCCCUCCCGGCUCCCGCGCCCGGCCGCCGCCGCCCGCGCUCCCCGCGCCCGCGCCCUGCUCGCUCGCUGCGUCCCGCUCGCCUUCCCCCUGCGCCAAACUUUCUCUUUCUCUUCUUCUUCCUCCUCCUCCCGCCGCCGCCGCCGCCGCCGCCGCCGGCCGGCCGGCCGGCCGGCCGGCCGGCCGGCCGGCCGGCCGGCCGGCCGGCCGGCCGGCCGGCCGGCCGGCCGGCCGGCCGGCCGGCCGGCCGGCCGGCCGGCCGGCCGGCCGGCCGGCCGGCCGGCCGGCCGGCCGGCCGGCCGGCCGGCCGGCCGGCCGGCCGGCCGGCCGGCCGGCCGGCCGGCCGGCCGGCCGGCCGGCCGGCCGGCCGGCCGGCCGGCCGGCCGGCCGGCCGGCCGGCCGGCCGGCCGGCCGGCCGGCCGGCCGGCCGGCCGGCCGGCCGGCCGGCCGGCCGGCCGGCCGGCCGGCCGGCCGGCCGGCCGGCCGGCCGGCCGGCCGGCCGGCCGGCCGGCCGGCCGGCCGGCCGGCCGGCCGGCCGGCCGGCCGGCCGGCCGGCCGGCCGGCCGGCCGGCCGGCCGGCCGGCCGGCCGGCCGGGUGGCUGGCGCCUUCCGCGCCAGUGCUCCACUGGCCGGGGACACGGCCGCCAGACCGGAGCCCUGGGGUCCGAGAGAGGGCGAAGGGGCGACGUGGCCGCCCGACCUUCUACCUGCGCGCUCUCCGCCCUGCCCCACUAGCAGCGCCGCGAACGCCCUGA
rnacentral:lncRNA from 1 species